GCUGUCCUAUAAUGGGUAAAGAACUUCAGUUUUUCAAGAUGUAAAAUUUUGGAAAUCUGUUGCACAAUGUGAAUGCACUUUGCACUGUUGAAACGUGCUAAGCAUUUAACGUGGUAAAUUUUAGAUAAUGUAGGGUUUUUCUUUACCAGAAUUAAAAAAUUAAAAAAAACUAAAAUGGAAUCUCCAGAUAAAAAUAGAUUUCAAUAAAAGCAGUAUUUUAGAAUGAGCCUGAUGCAAAAAUGAAGGUACGAGGCACACCAGACUCUUGGGGUUCACAACUACGUGACACACGAAACUCCAAGUGUGUUCCGUGAGUGUCAGAGAGUUCACAUGCUGAGUUUCUUAGGACCUUGCUAAGUUGCUGAGGCUGGCCUUGAACUUGUGGUCCUCCUGCUUCAGCUUUCCGAGUCUCUGGGAUGAUGGGUGUGCACCAUCGUGCCUGGCAGAUCCAGGCCAGUCUUAGACACUGCAAGGGAUGCUACCCUCCUGUCUUUGGGACUCCUUGCAGAAUCCUGAAGUCUCUGAGAGAUGCAAUGAUAUACCCCAACCUGUGGAGUCUGCAUGACCUCCAGGGUCCCGGGUUUCAUCUGUGCCAUGCAGAAGGGCUGGAGUGGCAUGGUCCUCUGGUGGACCGCAGAAGUGGUGGGACAGCCUUCAGUCAACCACCACCUCGUGAGGACAGCCAGCAAGCAGCCUUUACUUCCUGUGUGUCUGCAGAGCCCGUGGGACAGGGCUGAGCCCACCUGGGCGCCGCUGUUGGCCUUGUUGCAUGGAUGAGCAGCUGGACAGAGGCAGCUGUGGUCCUCUUGUCCCUCAUCCUCCUCUGGGGGCCGCUCAGGCAUGUCCUUGUCCUGUCAAGGGGGGAAGUGCCCUGGGGUGAGUGGAGACUAUCCUGAGCAUAGUGUGGACCUCUGAGCACAGUGUGGACCUCUGAGCACAGUGUGUUAUACUUUUAAAAAUAACUGAAGACCCCUAAGAGUGUUUAUAUGAUUUAUAUCCAUCUAUAGCCACUGAAUCAGGAACUGAAAUGAAGAAACUUUUAGUCAAUUUCAGAACAACUACAGGAAACAUCUUAUGUGUUAGCAUAAAUUACAAGUCUCGAUGAAAAACAACCAGUUAAACAAAAAAGUAAGAGCUUUAGUGAUAUUUUUUGUGGCAUCACUAUAUUUUGUGAAAUCUCUCUGACUUAGCAGAAGACACUGAAGCUUCGGGGUUUGAUCUGUUGCUUUUGCUGAGAUCUGUGGAGUUCCCGGCAGCACAGAGGUGUAAUUAGCAAAGGAACGAGGACUCUCCUAGUCUCUGCAGGUGGGUGCUGACGCUCUUUGAUAUCACACCA
rnacentral:lncRNA from 1 species